UAGGGAAUAUUGGACAAUGGGGGCAACCCUGAUCCAGCCAUGCCGCGUGAGUGAAGAAGGCCCUCGGGUUGUAAAGCUCUUUUGUCCGGAAAGAAAAGCUUCGGGUUAAUACCCCGGGGUUCUGACGGUACCGGAAGAAUAAGCACCGGCUAACUUCGUGCCAGCAGCCGCGGUAAUACGAAGGGUGCAAGCGUUACUCGGAAUUACUGGGCGUAAAGCGUGCGUAGGUGGUUGUUUAAGUCUGAUGUGAAAGCCCUGGGCUCAACCUGGGAAUGGCAUUGGAAACUGGGCAGCUAGAGUGCGGCAGAGGGUAGUGGAAUUCCCGGUGUAGCAGUGAAAUGCGUAGAGAUCGGGAGGAACAUCUGUGGCGAAGGCGACUGCCUGGACCAGCACUGACACUGAGGCACGAAAGCGUGGGGAGCAAACA
rnacentral:rRNA from 1 species